UACGAAGGGGGCUAGCGUUGCUCGGAAUCACUGGGCGUAAAGGGCGCGUAGGCGGCGUUUUUAAGUCGGGGGUGAAAAGCCUGUGGCUCAACCACAGAAUGGCCUUCGAUACUGGGACGCUUGAGUAUGGUAGAGGUUGGUGGAACUGCGAGUGUAGAGGUGAAAAUUCGUAGAUAUUCGCAAGAACACCAGUGGCGAAGGCGGCUCACUGGCCCGAUACUGACGCUGAGGUGCGAAAGCGUGGGGAGCAAACAGG
rnacentral:rRNA from 1 species